rnacentral:rRNA from 1 species
UACGUAGGGUGCGAGCGUUGCCCGGAUUUAUUGGGCGUAAAGGGCGCGUAGGCGGCCACGCACGUCCGUUGUGAAAUCGCCCGGCUCAACUGGGCGGGGUCAGCGGAUACGGUGUGGCUCGAGCAAGCUAAGGGGCAAUGGAAUUCCCGGUGUAGUGGUGGAAUGCGUAGAUAUCGGGAGGAACACCAGUGGCGAAGGCGGCAUCCUGGACCGGCAUUGACGCUGAGGAGCGAAAGCCAGGGGAGCAAAGCGGG